UCGAAGAAGAGAGCUCCCGUGUAUAAC
rnacentral:piRNA from 1 species